rnacentral:lncRNA from 1 species
ACGCCCCACACCUAUUGUCUCCUGUGCUAGAAGCUUUGCAGAAAACCUGGAAAUUUUGGCCAGAAAUGGUGAGAAGAAAAAGCAUGAAGAAGCCGCGAAGUGUGGGGGAGAAAAAGGUGGAAGCGAAGAAACAGCUCCCGGAGCAAACUGUACAAAAACCUCGCCAAGAGUGUCGGGAGGCAGGACCGUUAUUCCUGCAGAGCAGGAGAGAGACGAGAGACCCUGAAACACGCGCCACCUAUCUUUGUGGGGAGGGAUAAUUGAAGCGCCCUGAGCGUACCAGAGCCAGAAAAAAAAAUGCUGCAUGGGAGCUGCAUCUUAGGGCAUGUGUAUUAGGGUGUGUGCAUGAUGAAUUUCUGGACUGGAUC